UUUGCUUGGAUGACAUUCUAAGUAAUGAAAAAUUUAAAUGUUUCAUUAUUAGCUUAUAUUUUACUCUUCAUCUUCUACUGAGCAAUGCCAAAUCUAAGUGCAAUGAUUGGUACAUUCAACUCAUGGGAAAAAAUCGCCACCACUUGAACUUCUGCCUCAUUCUCAGAACAGACACAGACAACCAAGAUUAUCAAAGGCGAAAGGUGCGAGUUGAAGAAUCUCAAGGGUUUUUACCACCGUCUGAGAUCCAGGAAAGAAUUCAGAAAACCUUUGAGGUGAUAUGGUCAUUGGAUAAAAGGAAACUGCAUCCUAGAUUCUCAGAGUGGAAAGUUCUCAAUACAAACCUAACAUGGAUGUUCACUCUACUAUACAGAUCUACUAAGAAAGAUUUGACCACAGAGAAUGACUUGAGGUUGAUACAGAGGCCUAUUCCUAAGGAUACAAAGAUACUUGUAUGA
rnacentral:lncRNA from 1 species